UGUGCAUCUAAAUCUCCUAGUAAGUGUUGGAAAAAGCUAAUGAUACUGAUCAUUAUCUGGGGGAAGCAUUUGUAUAUAAAACAUAAAUAUAGUCUCUUAUAAUCGAAAAUUCUUUCAGGAGCUGCUUCUGAGUAGAAGAAAACUCCCAAUGUAAAGAUCUGAACAAAGAACAAAAUGAAAUGUAUAUGCAAAUCAGAGUAGGGGUGAUCAUCUCAUUGAGAAGUACACAGUGCGAAAAGCUUUUUCAAAACACUUCGGGAUAAAUAACAGAUGAAUUCUUAAAACUUAAUCUCUGUAAGUAAUACUCAGUCAACAGUAAGUAAAGAAGUUUUUUAGAAGUUUCGUUAUGGGCACCACUAAGCUUAACAUUUUUUUAAGUGGAGUUUCUGUGUAUAUAAAAUAUCCUAGUGCUUGGGGCUUUUAAAAACUGUUAACAUUUGUUACAUAAUUUUAAAAAAUGCUUAACACCUCGAUAUUCUAAUAAAUGUUUUAAUAGAAAUGUUUGGUAUAAAAACACUGCUGAUAACUUGAAAUAACUGAAUUUAAUUGCUGUCUUGCAAUAAAAAAUAUGACUUUCCAUGAAAGAAAUUUUGACUGACACUAUCAAAA
rnacentral:lncRNA from 1 species